rnacentral:lncRNA from 1 species
UUCCAUGUUAAAGCUGUGUGAGCCACGUGAUGUGAACCCAAAGUCCCUGAUAUGAUGGGAUUCUGUGGCAGUGGAAAUAGGGGGCUGGCUUUCACUUCAUGACUGCUGUGGCUCACUUACUUAGUAGCAGGGCUGGCUGGCCUUGGCCCAGGAUUAUAGACAUCAGCAUCAUCAUCAUCAUUUUCAUCAUGUGAUGGAUUGUUGCUUCAGUGGUCAAGCAUAUUUUUGUGAACA